rnacentral:tRNA from 1 species
CAGAUAUUAGUUUAUUAAAAUAUUAAUUUUGGAGAUUAAAGAUAAAUUUUUUUUAUAUCUGA